GCCUGGGUGGUUCAGUCGGUUGAGCAUCUGACUUUGGCUCAGGUCAUGAUCUCACAGUUUGUGGAUUCGAGCCCACGCCGGGCU
rnacentral:tRNA from 1 species